CCUACGGGUGGCAGCAGUGAGGAAUAUUGGUCAAUGGGCGGGAGCCUGAACCAGCCAAGCCGCGUGAGGGAAGAAGGUACAGCGUAUCGUAAACCUCUUUUGUCAGGGAACAAUGGCGGGGACUAGUCCCCGGAUGAGGGUACCUGAAGAAAAAGCAUCGGCUAACUACUUGCCAGCAGCCGCGGUAAUACGGAGGAUGCGAGCGUUAUCCGGAAUCAUUGGGCGUAAAGAGUUCGUAGGUGGCACGUUAAGUCUGGUGUUAAAGGCGGAAGCUCAACGUCCGUAGGGCACGGGAUACUGGGGGGCUUGAGUGCGGUAGAGGUAAAGGGAAUUCCUGGUGUAGCGGUGAAAUGCGUAGAUAUCGGGAGGAACAUCAGUGGCGUAAGCGCUUUGCUGGGCCGUAAUUGACGCUGAGGAACGAAAGCCUGGGUAGCAAAUGGGAUUAGAUACCCCAGUAGUC
rnacentral:rRNA from 1 species